AGACGGAGGGUGCAAGCGUUACUCGGAAUCACUGGGCGUAAAGCGCGCGCAGGCGGCUAUUUAAGUUGGAUGUGAAAGCCUACGGCUCAACCGUAGAACUGCAUCCAAAACUAUUUAGCUAGAGUGUGGGAGAGGAAGAUGGAAUUAGUUGUGUAGGGGUAAGAUCCGUAGAGAUAACUAGGAAUACCAAAAGCGAAGGCAAUCUUCUGGAACACUACUGACGCUGAGGCGCGAAAGCGUGGGGAGCAAACAGGAUUAGAAACCCGAGUAGUCC
rnacentral:rRNA from 1 species